rnacentral:rRNA from 1 species
GUACACACCGCCCGUCACACCAUGGGAGUUGGAAAUGCCCGAAGUCAGUGGCCCAACCGGAAGGGGGAGCUGCCGAAGGCAGGUUCGAUGACUGGGGUGAAGUCGUAACAAGGUAUC